rnacentral:tRNA from 1 species
CGCGGGGUGGAGCAGUGGUCAGCUCGUCAGGGGCGCAUUACCUGAAGGUCGCCGGUUCGAAUCCAGCCCCCGCUACCA